CUCUGUGGUGUACAAGGAGUAAAAUAUUCUCCGCAGUGAUUUCUGUGGUGUACAAGGGGUAAAAUAUUCUACGCAGUGAUUUCUGUGGUGUACAAGGGGUAAAAUAUUCUACGCAGUGAUUUCUGUGGUGUACAAGGGGUAAAAUAUUCUACGCAGUGAUUUCUGUGGUGUACAAG